rnacentral:rRNA from 1 species
UACGUAGGUGGCAAGCGUUGUCCGGAUUUACUGGGCGUAAAGCGCGCGCAGGCGGGCUGGUCAGUCUGGGGUGAAAUCUCACGGCUCAACCGUGAGUGGUCCCUGGAUACUGCCAGUCUUGAGGUGUCUAGAGGAGAGCGGAAUUCCCGGUGUAGUGGUGGAAUGCGUAGAUAUCGGGAGGAACACCUGUGGCGAAAGCGGCUCACUGGACCACAACUGACGCUGAGGCGCGAAAGCUAGGGGAGCAAACAGG